rnacentral:rRNA from 1 species
UGAGCAAUCUGCCCUUCACAUCGGAAUAACCAUUGGAAACGACGUCUAAUGCCGAAUACGACCUCCUUUCGCAUGAUCGGAGGUGGAAAGCUCCGGCGGAGAAGGAUGAGCUCGCGGCCUAUCAGCUAGUUGGUGUGGGUAAUGGCCCACCAAGGCGACGACGGGUAGCCGGCCUGAGAGGGUGACCGGCCACACUGGGACUGAGACACGGCCCAGACUCCUACGGGAGCAG